GGAUGAACGCUAGCGGCGUACCUAACGCAUGCAAGUCGAACGAACCUUUUGUAGCAAUACGGAAGGUUAGUGGCAAACGGGUGAGUAACACGUAGGUUAUCUACCCUCGAGUGGGGAAUAACGACCCGAAAGGGUCGCUAAUACCGCAUACGGUUGUGAAACUAAAGCCGAAAGGCGCUUGAGGAUGAGCCUGCGGCCCAUCAGGUAGUUGGUGAGGUAACGGCUUACCAAGCCGAUGACGGGUAGCUGAUCUGAGAGGAUGACCAGCCACACUGGCACUGAUACACGGGCCAGACUCCUACGGGAGGCAGCAGCGAGGAAUAUUGCACAAUGGGCGAAAGCCUGAUGCAGUAACGCCGCGUGAGGGAUGAAGGCCUUCGGGUCGUAAACCUCUUUUCGCGGGGACGAGUGAGGACGGUACCCGCGGAAUAAGUCUCGGCUAACUACGUGCCAGCAGCCGCGGUAAAACGUAGGAGGCGAGCGUUAUCCGGAUUCACUGGGCGUAAAGCGCGUGUAGGCGGUCGGUCAAGUCGGCUGUUAAAGCCCCUGGCUUAACUGGGGGAGGCCAGCCGAGACUGCUCGACUUGAGGGUGGUAGAGGAGAGUGGAACUCCCGGUGUAGCGGUGGAAUGCGUAGAGAUCGGGAAGAACACCAGUGGCGAAGGCGACUCUCUGGGCCACACCUGACGCUGAGACGCGAAAGUGUGGGGAGCAAACGGGAUUAGAUACCCCGGUAGUCCACACCCUAAACGAUGAGGGCUAGGUGUUGGUGGGAUUUCCCAUCUGUGCCGUAGCAAACGCGUUAAGCCCUCCGCCUGGGGACUAUGAGCGCAAGCUUAAAACUCAAAGGAAUUGACGGGGGCCCGCACAAGCAGCGGAGCGUGCGGUUCAAUUCGAUGCGACACGAAGAACCUUACCAGGGUUUGACAUGCGCGUGGUAGGAAAGGGAAACCGGACCGACCCGCAAGGGAGCGCGUACAGGUGAUGCAUGGCUGUCGUCAGCUCGUGCCGUGAGGUGUUCACUUAAGUGUGAAAACGAGCGCAACCCUUGUCGCUAGUUACAAGUGUCUAGCGAGACUGCCGGAUUAUCUCUGGAGGAAGGCGGGGAUGACGUCAAGUCAGCAUGUCCUUUAUAUCCUGGGCGACACGCACGCUACAAUGGGCGUCAUAAUGCGUUGCCAAGCCGUGAGGCGGAGCUAAUCGCACAAAAGCGCCCUCAGUUCAGAUUGCAGGCUGCAACCCGC
rnacentral:rRNA from 1 species